CAGAGAAUCACUGAAAUCCCAUCUGAAACUGGGGUUCAUCCAGAGGAACAGAGCUCACAGCAAAGACCACAGAAACAGAAGCCUGGCUUACUCCACAGGCUGCCAGGAACCAUCUCCAGAAGAGGGGUCUUCAAAACCAGGAGAUGGUGCUGGGCUCUGUACCACAGAGAUCAGGUUCUGAGAUGAAGAAUGGGGUUACAAAAGAGAAUCUAAAAUGAGAUAAUUCAGAAGUGGUAGAAAGAACAAGGAUUUACAGAGAAAGUUUAGUAGAAAAGUUUUUUGGCACUUUGAGUUCAAAACAGGCUAGGAGCGUGAACCAAUGACAAGAAAGUAACAUAGACAUUGUCCAGAGGAGAGUGAGGAGACAGCCCCAUCCCAGGAGAGGAUGAGUCACCAGAUAUUUUGGACUGAGAACUGGAAAAAGCUUCUAAAUGUCAUGAAUGUGGGAAAAGCUUUAGCUGAGUUUUUUUUUUUUUUUACCUUGUUCGGCAUCAGAAUCCAUAGAGCAGAGAAGCCUCACAAGUACUGUGAAUACGGAAAAGGCUUCAAUGAACACUCCAACCCCACUGCCCACCUGAGGACUCACAUAGGAGAAAGACCAUUCUAGUGUGGGGAAUGUGGGAAAAGCUUCAACCAGAGCUCCAGCCUCAUUGUUCACCAGAGGACCUACACUGGGGAGAAGCCUUAUCAGUGCACUAUCUGUGGGAAGAGAGUCAACAAGUUCCCAUUUAGCGCUCACUGGCAAGUCCACCUUGUGGAGGGCCUGUACCAGUGUGCCCAGUGUGGGAAAAGCUUUAAGAAUAGCUCCUGCUGAGGCGGCUGAUCGAUGUUUCUCUCUCAUCAAUGUUUCUAACUCUCUAUCCCUCUCCUUUCCUCUCUAAAAAAAAUCAAUAAAAUAUACUAAAAAAAAAAAAUAGCUCCUGCUUCAGUGCCCACCAGGAAACCCGCACUGGGGAAAAGCCACACAAGUGCAUCCAGUGUGAGAGAAGCUUCACUAAGAACUCUUCAUUCAUAUGCCAUCGGGAUAUACAUAAGAGAUACAUAAAAGGAAGGAAGUGAUGUCCAAGUUUGUAGAAAACCUGACAUCAACUCCUUAGGUCAACAUAUGUUUCUGAGAGCUUUCCUCUGUGGAUAGUUCUACUAGCCAAUCCCUGGCUUAGCAGUAAACUUGACAACUGGAUCUCAAGAACCAUGUCCAGGAAUAGGAAUCAACCUAAGAAUGCAGAGCCCUCUUUCUAUUUCUGCCUAGAUACUUCACAGUCUUGUCUCACUGUGGAUUUCCAUUUUGCUUUGAAGGGGAGAAGGCUAUAAAAUCCAUAAUUCCUGCUGGGAAACUACGGUAUCCUUGUUCUGAACAAAGAACAUGUAGCUAGUGGCCUAAGAACUGUUUCUGAGCCAUAUCAGGGAAUAAAUACUGUCCCCUCCUGGGGAGUACAUCUAGAAUUUUAAUAGUCUGGAUCUGUUCUAAACCAAUAAUUGACCACUAGGUACCUACUACUAUAUACUAUUGAAGCCUUCAGGUCAUAUUCUGCAACAGAGCCAUGAACAAAGGAAAGAAAGGCUAGGUUAAGCCAUUGGGUAAUAUGAAAUCAAAGCAACCUAAUCUUAAGCAAGUGUGAUAUCUAAGUUAAUUUUGUAAGAUUUCUCAUCACCAUCACUCCCAACCCAGUUUUUGGUUUCUUCUCUCGCAGCAUUUAUACAAGUUUAUAAGCAUUAUUAUCUCUGAUGAAAAUAAAGGUAUUUCUCCCUCCCCUUCCUUGGCCUAUGGUUAUAAUUUUCUCAAUUAGAAACUCUGCACUUGUGUUGAAGCCUUCAGGGUUCUGAAGAGGAUCUAUGCAGAAAGAGAAUUAGGGGCAAGAAAUAGGGAGAGGAGGAAUAGAAUUUGGUGGGAAGGAUUUGAGGUCACAGUGAAGGGAGAUCAUAGGCAUAA